rnacentral:rRNA from 1 species
UUGAAGAGUUUGAUCAUGGCUCAGAUUGAACGCUGGCGGCAGGCCUAACACAUGCAAGUCGAGCGGUAGCACAGAGAGCUUGCUCUCGGGUGACGAGCGGCGGACGGGUGAGUAAUGUCUGGGAAACUGCCUGAUGGAGGGGGAUAACUACUGGAAACGGUAGCUAAUACCGCAUAAUGUCGCAAGACCAAAGUGGGGGACCUUCGGGCCUCAUGCCAUCAGAUGUGCCCAGAUGGGAUUAGCUUGUAGGUGGGGUAACGGCUCACCUAGGCGACGAUCCCUAGCUGGUCUGAGAGGAUGACCAGCCACACUGGAACUGAGACACGGUCCAGACUCCUACGGGAGGCAGCAGUGGGGAAUAUUGCACAAUGGGCGCAAGCCUGAUGCAGCCAUGCCGCGUGUGUGAAGAAGGCCUUCGGGUUGUAAAGCACUUUCAGCGGGGAGGCGGUGAGGUUAAUAACCUCAUCGAUUGACGUUACCCGCAGAAGAAGCACCGGCUAACUCCGUGCCAGCAGCCGCGGUAAUACGGAGGGUGCAAGCGUUAAUCGGAAUUACUGGGCGUAAAGCGCACGCAGGCGGUCUGUCAAGUCGGAUGUGAAAUCCCCGGGCUCAACCGGGAACUGCAUUCGAAACUGGCAGGCUAGAGUCUUGUAGAGGGGGGUAGAAUUCCAGGUGUAGCGGUGAAAUGCGUAGAGAUCUGGAGGAAUACCGGUGGCGAAGGCGGCCCCCUGGACAAAGACUGACGCUCAGGUGCGAAAGCGUGGGGAGCAAACAGGAUUAGAUACCCUGGUAGUCCACGCCGUAAACGAUGUCGAUUUGGAGGUUGUGCCCUUGAGGCGUGGCUUCCGGAGCUAACGCGUUAAAUCGACCGCCUGGGGAGUACGGCCGCAAGGUUAAAACUCAAAUGAAUUGACGGGGGCCCGCACAAGCGGUGGAGCAUGUGGUUUAAUUCGAUGCAACGCGAAGAACCUUACCUGGUCUUGACAUCCACAGAACUUUCCAGAGAUGGAUUGGUGCCUUCGGGAACUGUGAGACAGGUGCUGCAUGGCUGUCGUCAGCUCGUGUUGUGAAAUGUUGGGUUAAGUCCCGCAACGAGCGCAACCCUUAUCCUUUGUUGCCAGCGGUCCGGCCGGGAACUCAAAGGAGACUGCCAGUGAUAAACUGGAGGAAGGUGGGGAUGACGUCAAGUCAUCAUGGCCCGACGAGGGCUACACGUGCUACAAUGGCAUAUACAAAGAGAAGCGACCUCGCGAGAGCAAGCGGACCUCAUAAAGUAUGUCGUAGUCCGGAUUGAGUCUGCAACUCGACUCCAUGAAGUCGGAAUCGCUAGUAAUCGUAGAUCAGAAUGCUACGGUGAAUACGUUCCCGGGCCUUGUACACACCGCCCGUCACACCAUGGGAGUGGGUUGCAAAAGAAGUAGGUAGCUUAACCUUCGGGAGGGCGCUUACCACUUUGUGAUUCAUGACUGGGGUGAAGUCGUAACAAGGUAACCGUAGGGGAACCUGCGGUUGGAUCACCUCCUU